CACCCCAUGCGGUCACCAGCAGACAGCCGCUUUCUGCACAAGUUCCAAGAUGGACUCACAGCAGUCCCCGCCAGCCAUGACGCUGAGAUGGGUGUACACCCAGCUCUGGAGGAACCCAACCGCCUGUGGUCUCUCCACAACGGCUGCAAAAUACUAUUCUCCGCUGUAACCAACCUCCAGGUCACAGCCACAGGACUUCCCACGGACUUCCCCUGCUCUUAAAGCAAACUGCAGAACCAAGCGUGGACUUCUGCUCCUGAGGGGGACGGAAGGACAGUCCCCUGCGGUCAUCUCUAUAGGAGAUGGGGGCCAUGGGUGGGAGAGAAACUCCCUGUUGCACUUUGUAGCCCUCAGUAUGAUUAAAGUGUUUACCAUGUACAUAAAUUAUGCUUUUUAAGUUCACAUGUCUUAUAUACUUUUACGUUACUUUUUAAAAUUAAAAGACAGUUAACUUUUAAGAAUAAA
ensembl:lncRNA GRTP1-AS1 GRTP1 antisense RNA 1